rnacentral:misc_RNA from 1 species
GUUUUUUCCACUGUUCUUUGCCUGCUUUCUGCAUUUUCGUUAGCUGGUUUUUCGUCUCUAUAAUUAUGAGUUACCCUGUUAGGCUAUGUAGUGUUUCUACUGUAGUGGCUGGGUUUCUGCAGUUUCAACUAAUAAAAGUUUGAUGUCUUAAAGUUUCAUCAGCAAACAUAAAGGCUAUAUGUACAUGUAAUCAUUUCGUUGUACUUCGUUUGCACUUAUCUCUUUGAGCUUUAUCCUCUCUGAUGU